rnacentral:rRNA from 1 species
UUAAGUGACUAAGCGUACAGGGCGGAUGCCUUGGCAAUCAGAGGCGAUGAAGGACGUGCUAAUCUGCGAAAAGCUUGGAUGAGUCGAUAAGAGGCGUUUAAUCCAAGAUGUCCGAAUGGGGAAACCCGAUGGAUGAAGAAUCCAUCAUUUCAUUGUGAAUACAUAGCAAUGAAAGGCGAACCGGGAGAACUGAAACAUCUAAGUACCCCGAGGAAAAGAAAUCAACCGAGAUUCUGUGAGUAGCGGCGAGCGAAAGCGGAAGAGCCAGUAAGUUUUAGCUAGUGUAUUAGAGGAAUUGGCUGGGAAGCCAAAUCAAAGAGGGUGAUAAUCCCGUACUCGAAAAUACGAUAGUGGAACUAAGCUUACGAUAAGUAGGGCGGGACACGAGAAAUCCUGUUUGAAGAUGGGGGGACCAUCCUCCAAGGCUAAAUACUCCUGAUUGACCGAUAGUGAACCAGUACUGUGAAGGAAAGGCGAAAAGAACCCCGGUGAGGGGAGUGAAAUAGAACCUGAAACCCUGUACGUACAAGCAGUAGGAGCGAGGGAAACCUUGUGACUGCGUACCUUUUGUAUAAUGGGUCAGCGACUUAUAUUUUGUAGCGAGGUUAACUGAAUAAGGGAGCCGAAGGGAAACCGAGUCUUAACUGGGCGUUGAGUUGCAAGGUAUAGACCCGAAACCCGGUGAUCUAGCCAUGGGCAGGUUGAAGGUUGGGUAACACUAACUGGAGGACCGAACCGACUAAUGUUGAAAAAUUAGCGGAUGACUUGUGGCUGGGGGUGAAAGGCCAAUCAAACCGGGAGAUAGCUGGUUCUCCCCGAAAUCUAUUUAGGUAGAGCCUUGAGCGGACACCUUCGGGGGUAGAGCACUGUUUCGGCUAGGGGUCCAUCCCGGAUUACCAACCCGAUGCAAACUGCGAAUACCGAAGAGUGAUACUCAGGAGACACACGGCGGGUGCUAACGUUCGUCGUGGAGAGGGAAACAACCCAGACCGCCAGCUAAGGUCCCAAAGUCUAUAUUAAGUGGGAAACGAAGUGGGAAGGCUUAGACAGCUAGGAUGUUGGCUUAGAAGCAGCCAUCAUUUAAAGAAAGCGUAAUAGCUCACUAGUCGAGUCGGCCUGCGCGGAAGAUGUAACGGGGCUCAAAUAUAGCACCGAAGCUGCGGCAUCAGAAUUUAUUCUGUUGGGUAGGGGAGCGUUGUGUAAGCGGAAGAAGGUGGCUCGAGAGGGUUGCUGGACGUAUCACAAGUGCGAAUGCUGACAUAAGUAACGAUAAAACGAGUGAAAAACUCGUUCGCCGGAAGACCAAGGGUUCCUGUCCAACGUUAAUCGGGGCAGGGUGAGUCGGCCCCUAAGGCGAGGCUGAAAAGCGUAGUCGAUGGGAAACGGGUUAAUAUUCCCGUACUUGGUAAAGCUGCGAUGUGGGGACGGAGAAGGUUAGGUAAGCGGACUGUUGGAAAUGUCCGUUUAAGUUGGUAGUUGGGAGCGGUAGGCAAAUCCGCUGCUCCAUUCAACAACGAGAGAUGAUGACGAGUUCCUAAGGGAAUGAAGUUACCGAUACCCGGCUUCCAGGAAAAGCCACUAAGCGAAAGGCUUUACUAAACCGUACUGAAAACCGACACAGGUGGUCAGGUAGAGAAUACUCAGGCGCUUGAGAGAACUCGGGUGAAGGAACUAGGCAAAAUAGCACCGUAACUUCGGGAGAAGGUGCGCUUACAGUAAUUGUAGUCCCUCGCGGAUGAAGGUGAAGUAAGUCGAAGAUACCAGCUGGCUGCAACUGUUUAUUAAAAACACAGCACUCUGCAAACACGAAAGUGGACGUAUAGGGUGUGAUGCCUGCCCGGUGCUGGAAGGUUAAUUGAUGGUGUUAUCGAAAGAGAAGCUCCUGAUCGAAGCCCCAGUAAACGGCGGCCGUAACUAUAACGGUCCUAAGGUAGCGAAAUUCCUUGUCGGGUAAGUUCCGACCUGCACGAAUGGCAUAAUGAUGGCCAGGCUGUCUCCACCCGAGACUCAGUGAAAUUGAAAUCGCCGUGAAGAUGCGGUGUACCCGCGGCUAGACGGAAAGACCCCGUGAACCUUUACUAUAGCUUGACACUGAACAUUGAAUUUUGAUGUGUAGGAUAGGUGGGAGCCUUUGAAGCAGUGACGCCAGUCAUUGUGGAGGCGACCUUGAAAUACCACCCUUUAACGUUUGAUGUUCUAACGAAGUGCCUGAAACGGGUACUCGGACAGUGUCUGGUGGGUAGUUUGACUGGGGCGGUCUCCUCCCAAAGCGUAACGGAGGAGCACGAAGGUUUGCUAAUGACGGUCGGACAUCGUCAGGUUAGUGCAAUGGUAUAAGCAAGCUUAACUGCGAGACGGACAAGUCGAGCAGGUGCGAAAGCAGGUCAUAGUGAUCCGGUGGUUCUGAAUGGAAGGGCCAUCGCUCAACGGAUAAAAGGUACUCCGGGGAUAACAGGCUGAUACCGCCCAAGAGUUCAUAUCGACGGCGGUGUUUGGCACCUCGAUGUCGGCUCAUCACAUCCUGGGGCUGAAGUAGGUCCCAAGGGUAUGGCUGUUCGCCAUUUAAAGUGGUACGCGAGCUGGGUUUAGAACGUCGUGAGACAGUUCGGUCCCUAUCUGCCGUGGGCGUUGGAUGAUUGAUUGGGGCUGCUCCUAGUACGAGAGGACCGGAGUGGACGCAUCACUGGUGUUCCAGUUGUCUCGCCAGAGGCAUUGCUGGGUAGCUAAAUGCGGAAGAGAUAAGUGCUGAAAGCAUCUAAGCACGAAACUUGCCAAGAGAUGAGUCAUCCCUGACUUUAAGUCAGUAAGGGUUGUUUAAGACUAAGACGUAGAUAGGUUGGGUGUGUAAGUGUAGUGAUACAUUGAGCUAACCAAUACUAAUUGCCCGAGAGGCUUAACCAU